AUAAGAAGGUGGCAAUGAUUCAACCAUGGGUCAUUUGGCAACUCUCAUUAGCAGGUGACAGGGCUGUGGUGAAGGGCAAAGGAGAAUCAUUCCAAUUAUGUCCCAUAGCUUUUACUUGUUCCUCCAAUUCCAUGCCUUUCUCAAUUUUGCUUUUUUUUUUUUUUUUCAGGGUCUCACUCUGUCACCCAGGCUACAUACAGUGUGGUGGCACAAUGGCAGCUCACUUCAGUCUCAACCUCCUGGGCUCAAGCAAAUCCUCCCAGCUCAGCCUUCUAAGUAGCUAGGAAUAUAGGCACAUGCCAUCAUGUCCGGCUAAUUUUCUUCUUCUCAUUAUUAUUAUUAUUUUGUAGAGACAGGGUCUCAUUAUGUUUCCCAUGCUGGUCUCGAACUCCUGGGCUCAAGCCGUCCCUCCACCUCGGCCUGCCAAAGUGAUGGGGUUACAGGUGUGAGCCAUUGCAACCAACAAUUUUGCUUUUCAGUGUAGUUGUUUGCAUACUUGCCUCCCCAGUAAGAUUUUAAAGGUGUGCAAAGGCAUAAACUAGACACGUAUUCAUCAGUGACCCCUAUAGCACUUAGCAGGAUACUUUGCAGGAAUAUUCUGCAGUAAUUGCUGCUUCAUAAAUGUUGGUUGGAUUAUAUCUUCAAAUAUCUGGUCCUGUGGAUUUAUUCCACAGAUGCUGCAUUAAACAUUUGGCUAUAAGCAUAAACAGACAUGUGGGAUAGGCUUUGUGCUUGGCCUGAAAGAGUUUCACUCUUUUUAAAAAAUUAAAGUUUUAAAAUAUAUUUUGGAGACAGAGUCUCAUUCUGUCACUCAAGUCUGGAGUGCCAUGAUGCUAUCACAGGUCACUGCAGCCUCAAACCCCUGGGCUCAAGUGAUCCUCACACCUCAGCCUCCCGAGUAGCUGGGACUACAGUUGUGAGCCACCAUGCCCUGCUAAUGUUUUCAUUUUUAUAGAGGUCUUGUUAUGUUGCCCAGGAUGGUCUCAAACUCCUGUCCUCAAGCGAUCCCGUGCCACCUCAGCAUCCCAAAAUGUUGGGAUCACAGGUGUGAGCCACAGCACCUGGCAGGAAACUGACUCUUUAUUAAAUCUCAAGGAGAGAUGGUGGCAAGACACUGACUUUGAAUUGGAGGAUGGGAUUGAAGACUGCUCCUGCUUCUUCCUUGGUCAAUGCAUUAAUAACCAGCUCAGAAAAUAAUAUGUCAACCAGAUUUUCUCUCUCAGCAGUGAAUAACAUCUCAGAAUACCUUGGAGUUGAAGCAAUUUCAGAUUGGAGAGUUAAGUAACUUUACCCAAGAUUACAUGACCAGGAAAUAGAGAAGGUGGGACUCUAACUGCAGUCUACAUUUUACAGGCCUUUGUGGGAGGGAUGGUGAGAUCCCCAAACGAAACAAAAGGAAGGAACAAAUAUCCUCUCUCCCUGUUCUUUGCUGCUUGAGUAACCUGGACUUGGCCAAUCAGAUGCUCCUGUCCAACACUGUGAGGUCAUCUGUGGAAAUUUCUAGCACU
rnacentral:lncRNA from 1 species